CCUACGGGGGGCAGCAGUGAGGAAUAUUGGUCAAUGGCCGGAAGGCUGAACCAGCCAAGCCGCGUGAGGGAGGACGGCGCAGAGCGUCGCAGACCUCUUUUGCCGGGGGAUAAAGGGCCGGACUCGUCCGUUCCUGAGUGUACCCGGAGAAAAAGCAUCGGCUAACUCCGUGCCAGCAGCCGCGGUAAUACGGAGGAUGCGAGCGUUAUCCGGAUUCAUUGGGUUUAAAGGGUGCGCAGGCGGCAGCGCAAGCCAGGUGUGAAAGCUCGGGGCCCAACCCCGGGACUGCUCUUGGUACUGGGCGGCUGGAGUGCAGGAGGGGCAGGCGGAAUUCGUGGUGUAGCGGUGAAAUGCGUAGAUAUCAGGAGGAACACCGGUGGCGAAGGCGGCCUGCUGGACUGCGACUGACGUUGAGGCCCGAAAGCGUGGGGAGCAAACAGGAUUAGAUACCCGUGUAGUC
rnacentral:rRNA from 1 species